AUAUACAUGUUUUCAACAAAAUAAAAUUAUUUUAUAAACCCUAAUUAUUUUAUUUUGCUCUUAUAUGGUUUCUAUAAUAAACCACCCCUUUUGUCUUUUCUAUUAAAAUAAAACUCUAACUUUUCUAACCAGGCCACCCCUCUCUGGCCCGUCUGUCCCUUUCUUCCUGGCAGCCCAGCUCUCCUCUUCCUCUGGCCCGAUCCGGCCCAACCCACCUUACCCUCCACCAGGCCCAUACCUCUUCGAGUGGAGAGGCUCUCCACUUUUGUCCUGUUGUCGUCUUCCUCAUCUCACGAGAAGGACGUGAGCGAGCAGCUCAUCCGGUCCUCACCUGCUCCCCUGGUCCUCCACCACAUGUUUCCCUCUUUUAUCCCCAGCGUUGCACCCUCCUGGAAACCCUAGCCCUAUCCUCCUCCCUCGCGCCGCCACCCUAUCCUCGCUCCCCUUGGUUUCCUCUCUACCUGCUCACAGAGAGCGACCCAAACAGCCACCGGGAACACCACCUCGCCAUGGCGUCGCCGCUCCAAGGCUCCCCCACCAUUCCGAGGGCACCAUCAGAUGCGGCUCGUCGUCCUCGUCAUCCCCCUGCAACGAAUCGAGUCAAUACCCUGUAAAUCGAGCGCAAGGUCGCCGAUUCUUCGCGCCGGACUUCAUGCUUCUUCUCCGAUUCCGGCCGCCCUCGUCCUCCUCCGGCCAAACCGAGCGCACCUCCAGCUUCCCCGUGUCCAGGCGCACCCUCGACGCCCUCGCGCUCGCGCUGUUUCGCACGCAACCGUCGGGUUCUUCUCCGACCAGGGUCGUCCGCCAUGGCUGCCAUCGAGCUCCGCCUCUAUCUCUUUCAUCUUGCAGCGCGGCGUCCUCUUGACAUGAUGUGAACAGUAGCAUACUGAUCUGGCAUUCAAAGAUGCUUCACCUCGUGCCUGAGAUCAUCCUAGCCAACAUCAGCAACCAGCCUGCUGAUCGGCAGAUGGGCCUCAGCCAAGAUCUAUCCGGUGCAGCUGCUCACCCGCGCGGCCCGUAACUCCUCAUCGCCGCUUGCACGCCCAACAGGCCGGCCCACGUGCGCGAACCUUCCUCCCGCCGGCCAGCAUUUGCUUCUUCCCGGAUAGGAUCACGAAGUGGUGAUGUGAGAUACGACGAGUUCUCCGACAAGUUCUUCUUCAGCUUUUCACAG